UACGUAGGUGGCGAGCGUUACCCGGAAUCACUGGGUGUAAAACGUGGGUAGGUGGCAUAGAAAGUACAGUGUGAAAUCCUGCGGCUCAACCGCAGGGCUGCACUGUAAACUGCUAUGCUAGAGUAGGGCAGAGGUGAGCGGAAUUCCCGGUGUACCGGUGAAAUGGGUAGAUAUCGGGAGGAACACCAUUGGCGAAAGCGGCUCACCAGGCCCUUACUUACGAUGAGCCACGAAAGCGUGGGGAGCAAACAGG
rnacentral:rRNA from 1 species